GCCUGCCACCGCCAUUGUUUACCCGUCGGCUGCCUCCUAGGAAACUUAACCCGCCCGCGGUAAUUUUAUUUGGGAACUUCGGCCAGUUGCCAUAGCAACCCCCAGUGACGUCAGAGGGGCUGGGGCCCGAAAUCCCCGGGAAAGGGGGGAUGGGAUUAGGGGGGAGACCCCCAGGAGGGCCCCUCCUUAACCCUGCGCCUGCCAGGUCCCGGUCUGAGGGGAGAGGGCAGCCAGAUGUGACACCUCUCGGGCGCCCCCAUUCUGGCGCGGUGCCAGGCAUGUUUCUGCCUCGGGACCUUUGCACUGGCUGUUCCCUCCACCUUGAACUUCUCCUCCAGAUGUCUGGACGGCUCCUCCUUCACCUCUUGGAAGUCUUUGUUCAAGUGUCACCUGGUCUUCAUGCAGCCUUUCCUGACCUGGCCCCCACCUCCUCAGCCCCCUUCUAUUUUCCCUUAGCAUGGAUCACCCAACACAAUAUAUCUUUAUACCUA